ACUUUGAAAAGUUGCUGCUUCUUCACUCGUCAUGAUGGUUAAUAUCGAUCAUCAAUUAGACAGCAUCUAAAAUCACCUAGAUGACAAGCCUCUGGGCAUGUCCAUGAGGGAGUUUCUAGAUUGGGUUAAUUGAUGUGAGAAGACUCAGUCUGAUUGUGGAUAGUACUAUUCCAUGAGCUGAAUGAAAUGGAAAAGGCCAGCUGAGCACCAGCAUUCUUCUCUUCCUCCUUUCUCACUAUAGAUGCCAUGAGACGUCUGCUCUGGCAACAAUGCCUUCCUGGUUGUGAUAGAUGAUACCCUUGAACUGUGAGCUGAAAUAAGCCCUUUCUUCCUGAAGUUGCUUUUUGUCAGACAUUUUAUAACAAGAAGGAAAGUAACCAAUUCACCUAUUAUCUUAUGGCUGCAGUUUUCCUAUGUAUUAAAUGAAUCAUAAGGAAGAAUCCGGGGCUGAGGAAGCCUAAGCAUGGCCUUACAUAGACAGUUGCUCUGCUGUCAACUGGCGUGAGCUCCCUGGGAUACACAAGACUGUGUCAGGUUCUCAUCACAUCUGCUCCCAGAAGAGUCUGUUCCCUGGGGAUCUACUAAGAUUAUGAACCAGUUUCUGAAGACAUAUGUCUGAGUGUGCUAAGGUGGCAUUUCACAUCUACUGUAUUUUAGAAAGCCCCAUUUAAAGGUUCUGUGAAGGCCAGCUGUGAUAGCACAGACCUGUAAACUGAGGCACUUGGGAGUGAGUAUGAGGCAGAAAGUAUGAGGUAGGCAGUACUGAUCUGUCUUAAGAGGGGAGAAAUUAAGCUCAGCAUAAGCAAGCAAGUGAGCAUGCUCACAUUCAUUUCUUACUGCUCUCCACUGUGGAUGUGAUGUGACCAGCUGACAUCUAACCAGACACAAACCUAGACCUACCUGGGAAAUUUCGAUUGAGGCGUUGCCUGCCUCAGAUUGGCCUGUGGGCACUGUGUUAGUGGCUGUGAGAGGGCCCAGGCACUGUGGGCGGGGCUGUUCCUGGGCAGGUGGGUUUGUGUGGUGUAAAAAGGUACCAGCAAGUGGUGCUCCUCCUUGGUUUCUGCUUCAGUUCCUGUCUCCAGGUCCCUGCACUGCUUCUGUCCUAGUUUAGAAUGCACUCUAACCUGUCAGCCGGAUAACCUUUUCCUCACCCAGUCACGUUUGAUAAUGGUGUUAAUCACAGCAACAGAAAGCAAAUUAAAAACUAAAGCAGGAGAAAGAGAGGGAGAUGGGAGUCAAUAUGAUCAAAGCACAUCAUAUACACGCAUGAAUAUGUCACAGUGACUCAGUGAGAGAAUACUUUGGAAAAUAGCUUUUGUUUUUAACAUGUAGAAGCUUAACUACCUCCUAAGCAAUAGAAUAAAGUAGACCAAGCGGACACCACCCACUUUGUAUUAUGAUUGUAAGGGAUCUAGAGCAUUUAGAAGGGUAUGUAUCAGUUAUAUACAAAAACUAUACCACUUAAUAUAAAACAAUUGGGCAUCUGAGAGUUUGGGUAUCUUUUGGGGUCCUGGAAUCAAUUCUCUUUGUGUACCAAGAAGCAAUAGUACAUAUUUCAGAUGUUUUACUAACUCAAACUUUCCUUUUCCCUCAAAAGUGUCUCACCUGUAGCAGUAGCAGGCUGCUAGUCUAGCCUGCUGCUUUCCACAAGCCAUCCAAAUGGGACCCCAGCUUACCUUUCCUAUGACAUCUGUCAACAGCUUCAGAGACCGAGGAUCAUGAACCAGGGAGUCUGUGUAGAAGGAGCCAAGAACAGAGUCCCAUGGAUAACUGGAAAAACCCAAGAGUUGAAGCUGUGCUCCCGACCCCAGUCCAGCACAAACCUACGAGCCAAGGCAGCCAGUAUUUGGCCAUUCGACCAUCCAUCUGCAUAUCCCAGGGAUGCACGAACAGAGAACAGUUCAGCCUCUCAGCUGCCUUAAAUAGAGCAAUGAGAAAGAGGUUAUUGGGGGCCACCACUUUUUUUUAUAUCUCAUUCUACGUUGAUCUGAGCAAAUAAGCUCAAAUACUUUGAAAUUCCUUCUUGAUCAGUAUAGAAGAUUCCUUGACCAAUUAUUACUGCUUGAACAAAUAAAAAGAACUCUCAUAAUUAA